AUGUGUCAGUAUGUCUGUGUGUGUGUGUCAGUAUGUCUGUCUGUGUGUGUGUCAGACAUACUGACACACACAGACUUACUGACACACACACACAGACAUACUGACACACACACACAAGCAUA